GACGAACGCUGGCGGCGUGCUUAACACAUGCAAGUCGAACGGAAAGGCCCUGCUUGCAGGGUACUCGAGUGGCGAACGGGUGAGUAACACGUGGGUGAUCUGCCCUGCACUUCGGGAUAAGCCUGGGAAACUGGGUCUAAUACCGGAUAGGAGCCAUUUUUAGUGUGAUGGUUGGAAAGUUUUUUCGGUGUAGGAUGAGCUCGCGGCCUAUCAGCUUGUUGGUGGGGUAAUGGCCUACCAAGGCGGCGACGGGUAGCCGGCCUGAGAGGGUGGACGGCCACAUUGGGACUGAGGUACGGCCCAGACUCCUACGGGAGGCAGCAGUGGGGAAUAUUGCACAAUGGGCGCAAGCCGGAUGCAGCGACGCCGCGGGGGGGAUGACGGCCUUCGGGUUGUAAACUCCUUUCGCUAGGGACGAAGCUUUUUGUGACGGUACCUAGAUAAGAAGCACCGGCUAACUACGUG
rnacentral:rRNA from 1 species